rnacentral:rRNA from 1 species
CCUUUGACGUUAGCGGCGGACGGGUGAGUAACACGUGGGUAACCUACCUAUAAGACUGGGAUAACUUCGGGAAACCGGAGCUAAUACCGGAUAAUAUUUCGAACCGCAUGGUUCGAUAGUGAAAGGUGGUUUUGCUAUCACUUAUAGAUGGACCCGCGCCGUAUUAGCUAGUUGGUAAGGUAACGGCCUACCAAGGCGACGAUACGUAGCCGACCUGAGAGGGUGAUCGGCCACACUGGAACUGAGACACGGUCCAGACUCCUACGGGAGGCAGCAGUC